rnacentral:rRNA from 1 species
CCUACGGGAGGCAGCAGUGGGGAAUAUUGGACAAUGGGCGAAAGCCUGAUCCAGCAAUGCCGCGUGAGUGAUGAAGGCCUUAGGGUUGUAAAGCUCUUUUACCAGGGAUAAUAAUGACAGUACCUGGAGAAUAAGCUCCGGCUAACUCCGUGCCAGCAGCCGCGGUAAUACGGAGGGAGCUAGCGUUGUUCGGAAUUACUGGGCGUAAAGCGUACGUAGGCGGUUAUUCAAGUCAGAGGUGAAAGCCUGGAGCUCAACUCCAGAACUGCCUUUGAAACUAGAUAGCUAGAAUCACGGAGAGGUUAGUGGAAUUCCGAGUGUAGAGGUGAAAUUCGUAGAUAUUCGGAAGAACACCAGUGGCGAAGGCGACUAACUGGACGUGUAUUGACGCUGAGGUACGAAAGCGUGGGGAGCAAACAGGAUUAGAUACCCUGGUAGUCCACGCCGUAAACGAUGAUAACUAGCUGUUCGGUCUCUACGAGACUGAGUGGCGCAGCUAACGCAUUAAGUUAUCCGCUGGGAGUACGGUCGCAAGAUUAAAACUCAAAUGAAAUUGAACGGCUGAGAGNGCGAGACGACGACGAGGGAGAG